rnacentral:rRNA from 1 species
GACGAACGCUGGCGGCGUGCUUAACACAUGCAAGUCGAACGGAAAGGCCCUGCUUUUGUGGGGUGCUCGAGUGGCGAACGGGUGAGUAACACGUGAGUAACCUGCCCUUGACUUUGGGAUAUCUUCAGGAAACUGGGGCUAAUACCGGAUAGGAGCUCCUGCUGCAUGGUGGGGGUUGGAAAGUUUCGGCGGUUGGGGAUGGACUCGCGGCUUAUCAGCUUGUUGGUGGGGUAGGGGCUUACCAAGGCUUUGACGGCUAGCCGGCCUGAGAGGGUGACCGGCCACAUUGGGACUGAGAUACGGCCCAGACUGCUACGGGAGGCAGCAGUGGGGAGUAUUGCACAAUGGGCGGAAGCCUGAUGCGGCAACGCCGCGUGCGGGAUGACGGCCUUCUGGUUGUAAACCGCUUUCGCCUGUGACGAGGCGUGAGUGACGGUAAUGGGUAAAGAAGCACCGGCUAACUACGUG